AAAGACGGAAAAAAUUUUAUUCAAAUUCUAACAAGAAUGUAGUAAACAAUGAUUAGGUGGUGCAACGAUUUACACUAAACCACUUUCAAAUCAAAGCGUUAAGUGAUUGUGAACGUAUAAAUAAAAAAUGGGAUGGAUUGAAUUUGGAUUAUAUGUUUAAAUAAUUAAGUGGAAUUUAACUAAAAAGUACAACAACAAUAUCAUGAGACGAUCUAACUGUCAAGAAAAGAAAAGGAACAUUUUUAAUGAUUCGGUAACAACCCAAAUUCUUCUAUAAAAAAACAGGACUUUUAACAGCAGCCUUUUCUUUUCGUUUUAUCCUUGUUUUCUUAGCUUCGUCUUCAAGUUAAGGUCCUCAAUGGGCCAUUGAUGAAUAGUAAAUCAAAAGAAAGGAGGGAAUAAAGGGGGGAGCUGCAUAUAAACCACAGCGUAUCACAACACAAUGAAUGAAUGGUGAGAUGGCACGCAUUUGCAUAAUUGACACUGAGACUGACAUUUGAAGUGCAAAUUACGCUUGCAUACGACUUUGGAUACUUUAUGCUUAUAACUUGUUGGUUAAUAGUCGUCCGUUAAACUUUUCUCUUUCUCUGUCAAUUUUUUUCCUCUUGUUUCCUUAUUUCCUGUUCCCUUCUCCCUAAUGGUUUUGGAAGAGUAAAAGAAAUAGGAAACUAGAAAAACCAAAGACGUACUUGACUUGUUGAAACUUAUAAAGGAAAAUAAUAACCGCAAGUAUCUCCCGUGCUAAGAUCAAGUUGGUGUUACACAAUAUUAUACAAAAAAGAACCAUCAUUUAAUUUAUCCAUACAUUGCAUAAAUGAACCUGACACACCAAGCACACGUGUAUAUAACAGGUAAGCAAACGGUAUAUAUAUACGAUACAUAGAUAUCCAAUACAUAUACACCUGUCCACUAAAUAGCAUGAAAAAGGGACAACAAAAACAAAAAAAGAACAAGAGAAAGGAUAAAAAAAGAAGAUAAAGAAAGGAGAAGUAAAUAAAAAUAAAGUAAAAAG